UACAGAGGGGGCGAGCGUUGUUCGGAAUUACUGGGCGUAAAGGGCGCGUAGGCGGCCUGUUAAGUCGAACGUGAAAUCCCCGGGCUCAACCCGGGAACUGCGUCCGAUACUGGCAGGCUUGAAUCCGGGAGAGGGAUGCGGAAUUCCAGGUGUAGCGGUGAAAUGCGUAGAUAUCUGGAGGAACACCGGUGGCGAAGGCGGCAUCCUGGACCGGCAUUGACGCUGAGGCGCGAAAGCCAGGGGAGCAAACGGG
rnacentral:rRNA from 1 species